AUCGAUAGGGGUCUGGUCGUGGGAUUCCUCACUCUUUUAUUUGUUGGUGUUUUCUUUGUGCAAAAGAGAAGCUCCGCAUCAAUCGAGAUUGCGGCCAAGAAUCUCCAUCUCUUCCUGUGUAGUACGAGCAGCUUGGAGGUUGGGUUUUUGGUUGCAGCAUCAAGGACUAUGCAGUGACGAACUGUGCCUCAUUGAGUAGAGCCGUAUUAAGCAAAUAGAAGCGACGAAGCUACGAAGAUGGAGUAGCUGCUAUUGCAGCGGUGUGCUAGCAGUGGACUGCCAGUGGUGUUUUUUUUCUCGUUGACGGCUCUGUAGUAGGAGCGUCAAAUCUGAUUUUCAUGAACUCUAGGCGCUCUGAAUCAGUGUCUUCCUGCUCCUAAAUGAGGUGCUGUGAUGCAACGCUCUCUUGCGAAAGCGGUGUUGUUUGCUAUGGUGCAGCAGUGGACUGGAAAGAGGGUGCUCUUGCAUGGUGUGCGGAGAGUCACCUAGCACAGUUCUUUAUUUUCUAGGAAGUCUUCCUUGAGCUUGCUUGAGCAGUUGUUGUUGGAGUUAUUGUCAACAACUGGGAUAAGUAAGACAAUGCAGUAGCAACAACAAUGUACGACGAGGAGCUCCAAAAAUUGGGAAGAUCUAGAAGGUUGUUGUUGUUGACUGUCUGCCAUAGCACAGCAUCACUGAGCAUCUAGACAGCUUGGAUUCUUCCUCCCAUUUGUUGAUUACGAUUCAGCGGUGCUGAUCAAUUUUGUGCUGUUCUUGUCUAUUUUUGCGUGUUUUUUGUAACAACGGAAGCGAUUCUCGGU